AGGAAUCGGAGUGUUACAGUGAGCCUGUCUUCUGAAGAUGUAGCAGUUCUUAAGUGAAUAUUGUGCUUUGUGAAUUGAGGAUACACUUCACUGAGCACAUAUAGAAAUGUAUGCUCAUCCAUUCUUAAGUCAUUGAUGUACGACUUGACGUCUUCCACUGUAAGCUCACGUAACAAGUUUUGUUGAAUGCUUUUAUCGUGUCGUCGUAAAACCCACGGCUUCACCCAGAUUAGAUUAGUUUUUCGUUCCAGAUUCUAGCAGUGACUGAUAUAGCAAAUGGGCGAUCGAAAGAAUUUGAAAAAGCAGUCUGGAUAUAAAAAAAUUUUCACUUCCAUGUCAGUGAGAGUGAUUUUCGAUGAACUAAAAUGAAGAUACAACAGGUUCACGUAAUUUAAACGCCUUUAGAAAUAGAAUUAAUGUUUGAAACAAUUAAAAAAAUUGUGAUAUUGAGGAGGGAGUAGUGAUACUUUCGCGAUUUUGAUCUGCCUGCAGCUGUUGGGGAUUGAUCACCAGGGUCUCGUUUCUUCAACUAGCUGUCUGUUGCUCGUGAAGAGCUGGCCGUGCGCGGGAUUUCCGAGGUGGGCCAAAAGUGCAGGCUGCUCCUGUGGGUAUCUGUAGUGGAUCGGGCCUGCCGACCUAAAGCCAUUUGGUUCCCACUGAGGUGCAGGCCCUGCCUGUCGGAUCUAGUCUCACCGACCUGCCCGCAGGCAGGGUCUGUUUGUGUGUGACGUAAUGCAGCAGAUUUUCACGGUUUAUCCGUGGGCCCAGGACUGGUGUUCCCCGGCAGGCCAGAGGCCGUGGGCGAUGGACUUCAGGAAUUACAACUGUCUCGUCAUAAAUACCUGGCAAAUGAGAUGAAGUUGUACCACUUCCAUCAGUCCAGACAUUUGUCAAAGAAGUGCAAUUUGCGUAUUGUAAGGCAGAAGAGCCUGUGCUGGUCUCACUCGUACCAGUGCUUCUCAAAGAAGAACAUGUGCUUGAUGAAUCGCCGGAGGACUUUGAAGUUGGCAGUCACCCAUUGCUAAUAAAUCUGAGUUUCUGAAGUGAAAGUCCAAAGAAGGGAAGACAGCAAGAAGUAGCUAUUUGUGUUUUUCAUGGUUUAUAGACCUACUGGGGAAACUUGCCAUGUAAAAAAAAUGAGUAACG